UUACGGCCAUAUCACGUUGACGCACCACUUCCUGUACAAUCAUCGGAGUUAAGCAACAUCGAACCUGAUCAGUACCUAGAUGGGUGACCGCUUGAGAAUACCGGUUCCUGUA